UACGUAGGGUGCGAGCGUUAAUCGGAAUUACUGGGUUUAAAGGGUGCGCAGGCGGUUGUUUAAGUCAGGGGUGAAAGCCCUAUGCUCAACAUAGGGAUUGCCUUUGAUACUGAACGGCUAGAGUGAAGAUGGAGUGGGUGGAAUGUGUUGUGUAGCGGUGAAAUGCAUAGAUAUAACACAGAACACCGAUCGCGAAGGCAGCUCACUAAUUUUCAACUGACGCUCAUGCACGAAAGCGUGGGGAGCAAACAGG
rnacentral:rRNA from 1 species